CGUUGCAGCUUGUCAAACACCCUCUCCCCAUCCUGCACUGCUGCCUGAGACCCACGCUGGUAUGUCCUAUAUGUCGGACAUUGGCGUAGUGUACUUGGGUGCAAGCUGUCCUUACACACUCAAAGUAGCAGCUGGCUCUGUGGAUGGAACAACAUUAUCAGGAAGGGUAACAUGUGGAUGGAACAACAUUAUCAGGAAGGGUAACAUGUGGAUGGAACAACAUUAUCAGGAAGGGUAACGUGUGGAUGGAACAACAUUAUCAGGAAGGGUAACAUGGGGAUGGAACAACAUUAUCAGGAAGGGUAACAUGUGGAUGGAACAACAUUAUCAGGAAGGGUAAGGUGGAUGGAACCACAUUAUCAGGAAGGGUAACAUGGGGAUGGAACAACAUUAUCAGGAAGGGUAACAUGUUGAUGGAACAACAUUAUCAGGAAGGGUAACGUGGCUUCCGCUACAUUAUCUACAAAUUAUAAUACAAAAACCAGUGCCAGUAUUGCAGCUGCUGCAAGUCACUGGAUGGGAAACGUCUCCCCACCUGCGUCUCUGUCCGUCCUGCAGCAGCAGAGACCGUCUCGUGACCCUGGUGUCUGUCUUUGAGGCAGAGGGA